UGCAUGCAGUGCAAUCAAAAGAAAGUUCAGACGAACAUGUUUUAUUACCCAAUAAAUUAGAAUUAAAUAAAGUGCGAAGUACAUCUGAGUUUGGGUGGCCUAAACGUUUGUGCCACAAUUUAUUUUCAGUACUAAUGGUAUUACAUGCAAAUGAAAGUAAAGGAGAACUAGGAAAAGGAGAAAUAUGCAAGGGAAAGAGUCGUCCCACUUUAGGCCCCUUUGCGAUCAUCUUCCUCGACACCGGAUCCUGCACAAC
rnacentral:lncRNA from 1 species